rnacentral:rRNA from 1 species
UUGAUCUGAAAUCAGGCGGGAUUACCCGCUGAACUUA